CAGAAUCUGAGAGCAGUCCUUUUUGCCAACUAAGGAAGGUCACAGGCAGCCAGAUCAUGCCAUGACGCUUGGGAAGCGUGGAAUCAGACCAAGGAGGGAACUGACUUGGCUCCUAACUAAGGCAGGGGCACUGACUUUUAAAGAAACCAGGCCAGCUGUCACAGAAAAUAUAUUACAAUCUGGAUUUGUCCUAUUGUUUCUGUACAGUGCUGUUAGUGAACACUUUGAAAAAGGAUGAAAAAUAUUUGGAGGCAGAGCUGGAGUCGAAGGACAUAUAACUCUACUGCCCACCACAGAAGAAUAAGGGAAACAAACAUCAAGGCACACUCAUUCUUUUUAAAACUCUGAAUCUGCAAAACUCUAACUCUUCAGCCCCUGGUAGCCACCAUUGUCCUUCUGUCUCUAUGGAUUUCACUAGGUAAGAACUGUAUAUAAGAGGAAUUGUAUGUCUUCCCUUUUGUGACUGGCUUAUUUCACUUAGCACAAUGUCUUCAAGUUUCAUUCUUGUUAUAGUGUUAGGGGGAAAGGAUGUCCUGAGCAAACUCCAUACAGAUUUUGUGGACUCCACCCCCACUCCACACCAAAGCCAUCAAGACACUGGGAAUGACAAAUCCCAUC